rnacentral:snRNA from 1 species
UUGCAUUGGCAGCAAAUGUACUAAAAUUAGAAUAACGCAGAGAUUAGAACGGACCAAGUGCAAGGAUGACAUGAAAAUUUGUGAAACAUUUCAUAUUUAG